rnacentral:rRNA from 1 species
CCUACGGGAGGCUGCAGUGGGGAAUAUUGGACAAUGGGGGGAACCCUGAUCCAGCCAUGCCGCGGGUGUGAAGAAGGCCCUCGGGUUGUAAAGCACUUUCAGUGAGGAAGAACGCCUGGUGGUUAAUACCCAUCAGGAAAGACAUCACUCACAGAAGAAGCACCGGCUAACUCCGUGCCAGCAGCCGCGGUAAUACGGAGGGUGCGAGCGUUAAUCGGAAUUACUGGGCGUAAAGCGCGCGUAGGUGGCUUGAUAAGCCGGUUGUGAAAGCCCCGGGCUCAACCUGGGAACGGCAUCCGGAACUGUCAAGCUAGAGUGCAGGAGAGGAAGGUAGAAUUCCCGGUGUAGCGGUGAAAUGCGUAGAGAUCGGGAGGAAUACCAGUGGCGAAGGCGGCCUUCUGGACUGACACUGACACUGAGGUGCGAAAGCGUGGGUAGCAAACAGGAUUAGAUACCCUGGUAGUC